rnacentral:rRNA from 1 species
UACGAGGGGAGCAAGCGUUGUUCGGAUUUACUGGGCGUAAAGGGCGCGUAGGCGGUCGUGACAAGUCACUUGUGAAAUCUCCGGGCUUAACUCGGAACGGUCAAGUGAUACUGUCGGACUAGAGUACAGAAGGGGCAACUGGAAUUCUCGGUGUAGCGGUGAAAUGCGUAGAUAUCGAGAGGAACACCUGCGGCGAAGGCGGGUUGCUGGGCUGAUACUGACGCUGAUGCGCGAAAGCCAGGGGAGGCGAACGGG